UACGUAGGGUGCGAGCGUUAAUCGGAAUUACUGGGCGUAAAGCGUGCGCAGGCGGUUAUGUAAGACAGUUGUGAAAUCCCCGGGCUCAACCUGGGAAUUGCAUCUGUGACUGCAUAGCUAGAGUACGGUAGAGGGGGAUGGAAUUCCGCGUGUAGCAGUGAAAUGCGUAGAUAUGCGGAGGAACACCGAUGGCGAAGGCAAUCCCCUGGACCUGUACUGACGCUCAUGCACGAAAAGCGUGGGGAGCAAACAGGAUUACGAA
rnacentral:rRNA from 1 species